GAUCCCAUCAGAACUCCGAAGUUAAGUGUGCUUGGGCGAGAGUAAUACUAGGAUGGGUGACCUCCUGGGAAGUCCUUGUGUUGGACCC
rnacentral:rRNA from 1 species